CCCCCUCUCUCCACAAAGCUAUCCCAACAGCACGGCUUUUACACAGGACCAAGUGCAAGCUCCCACGGAUGGCUGUGUCCGCUCAUGGACACAUCUGUUCUUCUCCUGCCUGCAGCCAAACUUCUGAGUGGCUGCCUUCACUUUGUUGUAUCCCAAAAGGAAAGCCUUGAAAUUAGAGGCAUUCGUAUCCAUGGGUAGUUUGAAAUCAUUUAGAGGAAAGGCAACAAAGAUAAAACAUCAAAUCCCUGCUACGUUUAAAAAAGCCCCUGGAAACCAGGGGGUUGUUUUCCUUCGUCGCCUCAUGCAGAAGUUCAGUUGCACUUUAGGAAGCUGAAGAGGGUUUUUAAUCUGCAUCCGCUGCUAGUUCAAGGUCUUGGUCUUCAAAGCUCUGAACAUAUCUGUGCCCAGCUACAAGAAGCCUGCACCUGCAGCUGCAAAUCAGAGCUAUCUGUGCUCCUCCGGGACGGCGCAGACCGCAGAGUCCAGAAGGAAGCAGCCAGGGACAAAACAUUCCAGAGCUUCCAGAGGAAACCAGACAAAUGCAUUCUGAAUCACUUCUAGGAAAUGCAGCAAAGCUUUCCUCUUUUAUAAAGGUUUUCCAUCAUAACCGGGGCAACGUUUGCAGUUAUAGACACUCGGCCUUCCCCACUUAAGAGACAAAACUCGCUGCCCACGAGCAGAGCUUUCUCAACCAGGGAGGGCCACCAGGGAUGAUUGUCAUUACCAGCCUAAUUACCAGAGAAACGCUUACGUGAAACAAUGAGAGAUGGUAGAACAGACCCAAAGGUAAAGUCAGCGGGGGCCUUUUGCAACAAGCAAACCAGCAGAGACUUCUGUUCUGCCUGUGGAGAAGGAGAGGCCCUGAGUCAGUCCUCUGGAUUGACUAAAAAAAGAAGAAUCAAGCAAACAAGCAACAACAAAAAAAGAAGGAGAAAAAAAAAAAAUCCCCCCCGAACCCACAAAACACAAAAAUACUUCUCCAUUCCGUAGGCUUACAUCUGGUGCUCUCCACAAUUGCAGUUUCUUUCCUCGGGUCUGACCCGCUGCUGUGGGUUUCCAAACCCUGCAGGCCGCUCCUGGGCCGCACGCAGACCUCGUGGCUCCGUAGGCCUUCACACCGCCGGCCCGUAGGAAGCUUAAGGAAAACACAGAGCCCUAUCAACACCCUGCCCCGUUUUCUACAGGCCAAAAAUAUGCCUAGCUCAGCACGGGAAGACUGUUCAAAGAGCAGGCACAACUGGCAAUUAGCCACAGCGCCAUUAGGUGCCCCCCUCCUCCGCCGUCAUUAGCAUUCCGCUCCCUGUCUCCCUCGUUGCCAGGUAUACCUGGGGGUUUCCAUGCGAGGAGCAGACUGGAACGUAUUGUUAUUACAUGCAACACGCUGUGAUAUCGUUUAAUUAUUGCCAUCCUGAGUUUUUUCAUAUUUUCUGCAGCUCUGUCGGGCUCCCUUGGCCCAGCCACAGAGCGGGGACCUGUUGUGCAAGAUGAUGUAACCACGCUGCUUUCCCCCCCCCCCCUCCUUUUUAUUAAAAACAAAACCCAUUCCCUGCCCACACGGCUCCCAACGUCAGUUAGCACAGCACAGUCUGGGCAGGCAGAACAAAGAGAUGGGGAGGGAGGACAAGAAAACAGGAAGAUGAGAUAGCAGCAAAACAAACCUGAGUGCGAGCCUGUGAUCUGGGUUUGGACAGGUGCCAUUUUUGUGUUUCAGAUGAAAGGCACGGCCCAUUCAGAGCUCGGGGAGCUUAAGUUGUGCCAGGAGAGGUUCAGGUUGUGUGUUAGGGAAAACUUCACCUCAGGAGGGGUGAUGAUGCGUUGGCACAGCAGCUCUAAGGUAGUGGUGGAGUCACUGCUCCUGAAGGUGUUCAAGAACCAUGGAGAUGUGGCACUGAGGGACGUGGUCAGGGGUAUGGUGGGGACGGGGUGGUGCUUGGACUGCAUGAUCUUAGUGGUCUUUUCCAACCUCAAUGACUCUGUGAUUCCAGGAGGACUAGGCACUGCAAGUCACUUGCUGCUCGAGGGAGAGCAGAGACCUUUGCAGACCAUCCCAGUAGAUGAGUGCUCCAGGUUAGAGCCCACCGAUAACACUGAUGAAAUCUAAGUGCAGAAGCCCUGAGGCUGAGCUGGGUGGGUUUCCCCGUAGAAGUGCAAGCUGUACUCAAACAGUUCUCAGACACCUCCACUUCUGCUCAUGAUGACACGGAGCUUCAUCUCCUGGGGUCAACAGGUCAUCUCCUGUUGACCCCAGGGCACUGUUUGCCUACAAGGGCGGUCCUCAGAAGGAAAGCAGUGCUGCACAAUAACCCUAAGCUCAAGAAGACACUCUGUACUUUUGAACCUCUAUCUCAGCAGCAACCACGUAGAGCUGGGUGCCAUCAGACCGCUGGGGGACUCCACAUCUUGGCAGUCUUUUGUCCAAGUGCUGAAUUUCUCCUAAGCCACACUGCAGCCAACAGCAGAGUCUCUGCAUGCAGAUCGCUUCCAGACACACCGAGACACUCCAGAACAAUCAGCAUUUCAGGAGGAAGACAUGAAAAACGUAGAGGCAGUUGAGGUGAAAGGAAUGUAAUUACGCACUGUGAUGAACAGUUCACCAAGAGCAGCGUUGUGCACAGAGGAAAAAUAAAGGAGAAUUUCUAAUCACAUGAAUCAUCAUGUUUUAUGCAGUUACUCCAGAGUACAGUAGGAUAUCUUUGCUUUUUUUUUUUAUGUAGUUGGUGGAAGGAAGUUCUUAUAUCAUUUGUGGUCUCUUCCGACACCAUAAAAAGCCCCAAAUUACCGUAUUCAGUCCUCAAAGACGAAGCUGUGGUAGCCUUUUACAGCUGGAUUUUAACACGCAGUGUCUAUAUUCUCAGCAAGAAAGCCUCGUUUUCAAGAAAUAAAUAUAACUUAGGUUCCCUCACGCGAUUGGUCUGACACUGCACUGCUGCAAUGGCUAUCAGCCUGCUGUUGGCAGAGCUCUGUUAUUCUUCCAGGAUCAUCUGAAGUCUGACAGCAUCUUGACCUAUGGACUAGAGCUUGUGUCAGCUUCUAGGAUCUGAAACAGCCGACAACACAAGUCUUAAUGUGAAUGAUGUCAUGGCAAUGCCCUGGAUAAAUAUGCCCAAGGCGAGACAAAUCCAGAGCUGCUGUUGCUUACACUAACAUUUGCUUUUCUGCCAUGGAGCAGACGAAGUUCUUAGCACGUCUAUAGCUCUGGUGUGAAACUGGGGUCAGCGUGCAUUUCUGGGGUCCCCUCCAGACUUAGUACACAAUGGACACAAUCUGUUCUGGCUUCUAAGCUCGGGGAAUGCUUUUUGAAUGCAGGCUGUCUUCGUAGUGUUGAGGACUGGCGGUGUAUUGAGGUCAGACACUGGUUUGGACCCAAGGAGAAGCCAACACACAACUCAAUGGCCUCAAGCAGUUCAUUGUGAGAUGAAAGUUACUUAGUAACUACAAUUAUCCUGGGACUCUGCUUCACUUCAACAGGCCUUUUUGACCCACGGAAGGUAAUGCUUCCUUACACAAACAUGUAAACAGAGGAGCAUAAAGGCAGGCAAAGAAUCGAGGUCACACCAUUAGCUGUUAUCACUUUGGGAGAGCAAUUCAGAAGUCUCUGCCGUGAGACCCCCGUGGGGCGGUGUGGGGCAGACGGGCAGGAUGGCUCUGUCUUACACCUUUGGUGAGAGUCAGUCACCGGAUAAAUCUGUCCCUUAAGAGAAAUGGUUGGAAAACAUGAAAAAAGCAAAGCAAAGGAAAAAAGAAAAAAGAAAAAACAACACAAAACCACCCUUCCCAAAUGAUAGCUUCUGGGCUUGCUUGUGAAAAAUUACCCAUUUGUUUAAUUGAAAAGAGCAAUUUAUCAGGCUAAUUUCCUUCCAGCAACCAGAGACCUUUCAAAACUUGAUUGCAGUUAAUGUGCCAGUGUUUCAAAGCAUUUCAUUCAACUAUCAAAUAAGCUAAUGAAGAUGUUUAAUUUACUGUUGCAGUGCAAAGUGGGCCGAGCAGGUCAGGCAUUGCAUGCUCCUGGGGCAGCAGAGGUGUGGAUGAGCCUCUGGUGAUGCAGCAGCACCUCGGAGCCCAAAUGUCCCAUAGGAGAGCUGGAAUAGAGACUGCAUCUGCACACCUGGCCCAGGGAGGAGAAUACCUCCCCUCCUGGAUCCCAUCUGUGCCGUUCUCUUAGCCAGUGGCUGACAGUGCUUGCCCACAUCCUUGAAUAUUCGAUGGCUACAGCCACUGCUGUGAAUCCUUCAUUUACAAUAACACAUGGAGGCAUUAAUAAGUUGCAUCUAUGGCUUUACAGGAAGCAUUUAAAGUCUGGGAGGGAGAAGGAUUAUUUACAAAUAGAAGAAAAGCUGUGCGUGUGCUGCUGAACCAAAAUAUGAUGUGGCAUAGAAGCUGCAAGUGUCCCAGCUGAGAUGCUGGUUGCACACUGGUUUACUAAUUAGGUGGAUCUGCUUUGACCCAUUGGCUGCAGUUGGCAUUACUGAGAUGGAACCUGUUCAGCUCACGCAUGAUAACAGGUAAAUGACCACAGCCACGUCCACUUCACGACGGCUGGAAAUCAUCAUUGAUGCAAAAUGGAGACAGCACAGCUCAGGCUGUGGGAGGGACGCCUUCACAGCUACCGGAGGUGUUAAAGAUGACCUCAUCUUCUGGUAUUGAAAUAGGCAAUUGGAGAAAAUGCUCCCCCUCCUCCUGCCAGCCUCCUAAAGAUCAACACAUCUGCAAACACAUUCUGCAAACCUAAGGGAAGAAAGCCAGAUUGUAGCCUGCCUUAUCUCUUCUGACUCGCUAAAUGUAUUUCAGGCCUCGAGCGUCACAUGACUGCACAUAGUGUGUGGGUACAAUAACUAAUGUGGCUUUCAUAACGGAUCAGCAGGGAUCAGCAAUGUUGAACAAACACCCUUAUUUGCAAAAGCACCUUCCCAGCUCAUGAAGCAGAUGACCUUGUCUCCCAAGAGUUACAGUGUGAAGCUGAUGAUCUGCAAAUUAAGGAUUUGGAACUUGCGCGAUGAUGUUUAUCCACCAAUCCCCCUUAACCUCACCAUUUUGCACUGAAUCCAACACUGUCCUUGCACUAUAGAAACCCAAGGCAACAAGAGACCAGUUCAUGACACCACAGGAGGCAGCGGACAAUGCAUUUUUUGCAAGAUGUUUCCUGUUGGUGGGGGACAGGAUUUCAUCAAAAAGCAUAGAUCAGCAUCUUGUUGAAUAGAAUCACAGAGUCACUAAGGUUGGAAAAGACCCCUAAGGUCAUCUAGCCCAACCCCAACCCAUCUGACCACACACUGAUCAUGUCCCUCAGUGCCUCAUCUCCACAGUUCUUGAACACCUCCAGGCACAGUGACACGACCACCUCCCCGGGAAGCUGUGCCACUGCAUCAACUCUCUUUUGGAGAAGAAAUUUUUCCCCAUAUCCAACCUGAUUGUCCUUUGCUACACCUUCAGUGAAGAACAAAUCUCUUCCUGAUUGCAACACCCAUGGGAGAUGCUCAGGGAGAGGUAGACUAGGUAGGACACCCCAGCAAUCUUAGACCUCCUAUAGACCAGCUUAAAAUAUGAGCUAUUAAAGUCUUCCAGGAUGGUUUUCUACACUCUAGAAAGAUCUCAUUCCAUAGGAGAAAACCCGGUAUGCUCUACUGAAGGUAUCCUUGAUCCUUUAAUCCUGGAUGAAAUGCCACAUGGAAAAAUUCCCCGUGUGUCACCUCUCACGUACUCAAGAAAUUAUAUUCCACGUCUAGAUGGUCAGUAGGCUUUACUUGCUCAUGUAUUUAAAGAGAAGCCUUAUAAGCACAGAAGGCAGUAUGCUUCUAACCACCCUAGAUUUGGAGGCGGUGGGGUCACUGAACCCGGAAGUGUUCAAGAAACGUGGAUAUGUGGUACUUAAAUCCAUGAUUUAGUGGGCAGUAUUGGUGGUAGGUGGAUGGUUGGACUAGACGACCUUAGAGGUCUUUUCCAGCCUUAAUGAUUCCAUGAUUUCUUUUACAACUGGUGUGCUGAGCUGGGCUCACAGGGUUUUGUUUAGGACUUGCUCUUUCCACCUCUGAAAUCUCUCAGUGUAACCAAAUCUUGUUAUAACCUUUGGAUGAGUCCUGGGGCUUAUCUGAUUUUGUCUACGGGCCUACAAGUGCCAUGCUCUUCACUUGCUAGGGAGUGCUGGGCUGUGGGAAUGCAUUUACUGCUGUCGAAGCUGGCUUUAGAAGUUGCAUCCUGCCCUAAGGGACUAAUUCCUACACAUUUGCUGCGCUAGUCAAAGCUUUUGUCGGGCUGCAGGACAGACAGGGAGCUCCAGCAACAGAAAAUGAGCAGAGAGAAGCAGAUACUGGAAUUGCCUGUGCCUCUAUGAGCUGCAGCGAGCUGCAGGGAUUCCAUUGGGGCGGUGAGGCAAGGAGGUCCUGCUGAGGUGAAACGGGGCCUUGGUCAAUGCAGAGAGGUGAAGACCCUCCUAGAAUGGAUAGAGGAUAAAACCAGCUGUUCCCCUAUGCUCUAACAUUGAGCCUUCCUUCAAGAUGGACCAGAUGAUCUUGUAGGUCCUUUCCAACCUUGUGAUUCUAUGAUUCAAGCAUCUCAGCCCUUGAUUUCAGAUGGCACAUUCCAGCAAAUACUUGAAAACACUCCUCCUGCUGCCUCUCAGACCACGCAAGGCUUUUAACCCAUUGUUAGUCCUUAAAACAGUAUACAGCAGCAGGCACAGCUACUACUCAUGUGCUUUGUGGAGUUUAAUGUCAGCAGUAGACCCAAAGCAAAAUGAAGGAUGGAGUCAGAGGACAUCAAAAUCUCCUCACAAUUGAGUAACACACACAUAUUUACCUACACAAUGCCUGCUCCUACAGCACUCGUGAGUCAGGUGUAAUUGCUUCUGUUUCCAAUGAGCAAGCACAAAGAUCGUGGAAAUGUCUCAGCUGUGAGAAGGGCAGCUCUGCACAGAAUUAGAAAUGAGUUCUUCUUGGAAUCAUGGAAUCAGUGAGGUUGGAAAGACCUCUAGGAUCUGCUAGUCUGACCAGCAACCCAUGCCUGCGACUAAAUCUUUGCAUCUUUACAUUGUGUGCUCCCUCAGGAUGACCAGGCUAUACUUUUCCUCUUGGUUUAUACACCAUAUCUGUAGAUUCACGGAAGCUGCAGGGGAGGAGUUGCCAAAAUAAAUUCGGCGAUGAACAUAAAGAGCUGCAGAACUGGAUCAUCUCGCCUUGAAUCCUGUUCCUGACAGCAGUAAAUGCUGAUAGCAGAAUGCAAGAAUAAGACAGCUUUGUGGCCUCCUCUGCUGCACCCUGCCUAGUGCCUAACAGGGACAAAACUUCACUUUCUUCUCAACUACUCUUUGGACCCCGAACCUUUGCUCUGAGAGCAAAAGUUUAGUAGGAAUAACACAAACAUUUGGAGGAAAAAAAAAAAGAGCUGAAUCGGGGAACAAAGAGGUUUAAAGGCAGCGGGGGAAAAGUCACAGAAAGUUUAAAAUGGAGCACUACAAACACUGCAAACAAGCAGAUUAGAGACAUGGGACGGGCACACACACAGCAGAGCAAGCAGAAGGAGGCACUCAGCUGCAUUUAAUGGCACACAAAGUUUGCCUGAUAGAAAACAUUUCCACUCCUGGGCUUAAAUCACAGCUUUCCUCUGCCCCUGGCCCCAGUAAGAACAGGAACAACAACAACAACAACAUGAAAAAUGCCCCAGCUUCAGGGAUCGAGGGAGGAAUUUAUGUGCUCAGUAAUAUGGUCACAGAUAUCCCCCUCCCAAGUGCUUUUUCUCCCCUUGUUAUGAGCACCCGUGUCUUUGUUAGGAGAGCUGACAGGUUUAAAUAGAGCAUAUAAAACAGGCUGUUUUCGAGACCCCAUUCCUGGCUGUCUCAGACAGCAGUGCAACAGACUUCUUUACACUCAGACAUUGCUUCAAACUUCAGUUUUGAUUACUUCAGGGCUACGUUUCAUGCCACGCUGUUAUUUAUCUUAACGAACUCUGCUUACUCUAUCAUUUGGUUCAAACUGGGAGAUCUUCGGAGCUGCUCUGCUAUGCACAAAUUCAGGAUGAUACAGCAAAGUAACCUAAGUGGAAUGAGGCCAAACAACAUGUAAUCACAUCUAACAAGGAGGGAGGGGAGAGAGCGGAGGGGGAUGGGUGGGGAGAAGCAGAGAUGGAACAAAUGCCGUGCACUGAAACGCAAUGUCUCCUGCUACAUCCCGGGCCUGACAGAUGUAAAAGGGAGGACAGGUCUUGCUGAGUGGGGAGAGCCAGAUCUGGCAGCCAGGUGGGAGGGCAGGGAGAGCCAUUUUCUGAGCUGAAAGCAGAUUGCUUGUAGCAGCUUGUUUUGCGUUCCUGCUCAUCACUAGCAGAAAGCAGAGAAGAAACAGCUGGAGGUAGAGAGAGAAGGAAGGCUGCAGACCAACGCCUGCUUCCUGAUCUGCUUCUUACCUGAGGAAUAUGCCUUUCCAGUUCUUGGCACUGCCUACCAUCUUCCCUCCCUCCCUCUCUUCCCACAUCAACUCCAUUCCUGCUCUGGUUGCUCCUGCUGUGCAGUUAGCAGUGCUUGCAUGAUCUGCUUCUGGGGCAGAGCUAGAAGCAGGAUCAACUUCUGAGACAGAGAUAACGCUUUAAAUGGGUCCGCAUGUUUGCAAAACAAACAGAUGAGUUGAAGGUAAGGCAACACAUCCAUCCAAGUGCUGCUUUUUGCUGCUUUUGUUCCCACAGGAUGAAUGGUAGAAAGGUGCCUGCCCUGGAAUAACUCGUCCCAAGGGGGAAUCAGAGUGGAGCACACUGAUAUGCAGUGUCUGCUUAAUGUAGGAGUGUGAAAAAAGCAAAAUGGGAAUUAAUGAAGGCUAAAGAAGAGCAGAAACCCUAGGGGCUCUCAUUCCUUCCUCAUCUACCAGCCACACUCAUGGAAACGCUUUGUGACGUUCUCCAAAUCCUUGGACGUGAACCUAUAACUAAGCAUACCAGAACUCCCCCUACUGAGGAGCUACCACAACCACAGCUAAAUAUUUGGGGAAUUUCUUUGGCAAAACACUUCCCCGUUGGAAAGUGCUGAUUUGUUGAAACCAAAGCUUUCUGUGGAAAAACAUCAGCUUCCGUGAAAUAUUACUUGGGAAGAGGUUCUUGGGCUCACAGUGCAAUUGCUUGGCAGAGCCAGGCAGAUAAAGCAUUCCUUAUGGGACUCUUCUGCACCGUCCAUGCGCUGGGGGGCAGACAGACCAGCAGACAGACAUAAACACAAACCAGAAAGGGCAACCUCCAGUGUGGAAGGCCAGAUUUAAAGGAGGUGUUUGAACCUGACCUUUCCCACCAGGCUGCUGCCAUAUGGGAAGGGGGCUGGAUCCUGUCUCAGAAUCUGUGUUCAAGAAAACGAGCUCUGGCAUUUUGGUUUUCUGUUUCAAAAAAAAGAGAGGAAACAAAAAGACAAACCCAUUAAACUUGUCAUGAAACGGCA